CGGAGGAUCCAAGCGUUAUCCGGAAUCAUUGGGUUUAAAGGGUCCGUAGGCGGUUUGAUAAGUCAGUGGUGAAAGCCCAUCGCUCAACGAUGGAACGGCCAUUGAUACUGUCAGACUUGAAUUACUGGGAAGUAACUAGAAUAUGUAGUGUAGCGGUGAAAUGCUUAGAUAUUACAUGGAAUACCAAUUGCGAAGGCAGGUUACUACCAGUGGAUUGACGCUGAUGGACGAAAGCGUGGGGAGCGAACAGGAUUAGAUACCCUGGUAGUCCACGCCGUAAACGAUGGAUACUAGCUGUUCGGAGCAAUCUGAGUGGCUAAGCGAAAGUGAUAAGUAUCCCGCCUGGGGAGUACGUUCGCAAGAAUG
rnacentral:rRNA from 1 species